CAUAGAAGUCCUCUCCAGUGUACUCAGUGUCCUCUCCGGGACUCCAAUGAGUGUCCAGUUCUCCUCCCUCAGCUGAACUGUGCUUUUGCCUUUAGACAGAGUCACUACCCUCGUUAGAGCAUCUAAGCAGAAAAAAAGGGGUCCUCAGCUGAGGUCUUUGCUAUGGCUGACAAGAUUAAGCAUUUUUUUAUUUUUGUUUUUAUUUUUUGCUGAUAACCAUUCCCUUAUGUCACUCUCGGUCCUCACCUUGAUUCGAGUCAGUUUCUGGGGCUCCACUAUGCACAGCUGGGGCUUCCCCCACCAGACCAAGAUUCUCCCUUCCCUGAGACCCUCCAGGCCGAAAUGACAGUCACCUCAACCUGACAGCUCUUCCUGAGCUUCCCAAGUCACAGGAGAGGCUUUUGGUUUUGGACCAUGAGAAUGGCUUACAUAUUCAAAAGGUUGGAUUUGGGAAGCAAUGCUAAGCAGUGGAAUGGACAUCGACAUAGAGAGAUCAGCUCCACACUUAUACUCUGCCACUCAACUUCCCCAUGUGACUUGAGGAUCACUCUAACUCCAAAACAUAGCAAGCUCGCGGAACAUCAGGGUUCAUGCAAAGUAUUCCAAGGAGCCCCUUGAAGCAACAGAAUGGAUUGCUCUUCUAUGGUGGAAUGGCACCCUGGAUGAUUAAAACCGUAGCAGCAAACAAAACCUCCAUCAAGUAAGAAUUCAGAGUGUGAGAUAUCACGCACAGCCACGCGUGGAUCUUUAUAUACGUGUCAAUGUGUUUGAUUGUAUUUUUGCUUUCAAAGUAUGUAUUGAGCAUUUCUUCUAGGUCCUCAGUAACAUCUUUUUAAAAAAAAAAUAAAUGCUUAGGGAAUUGUUUUAUAUUAAACUCGCUUCCAUUGUUAUCAA
ensembl:lncRNA MAGEB17-AS1 MAGEB17 antisense RNA 1